rnacentral:lncRNA from 1 species
GGCUUGAAUAAGGACAUAUUUGGAACUUUGGGAUACAUAAAUCUAAUUGUUAAUCAACUAAUUUUUAACUCUAGUUCAUUCGAUCAGGAGCUAAUAGAUGCACUAAUUUUUUAGUUUUUUUUUAGAUUAUUAAUUUUUUAGUCAAGCCUCUAACUAGUCCUCUUACGUGUCCUAGCUGAUCCAAACAUGCCAUAUAUUUUAGUUUUUUUAUGGCUGUCCUCGCUCGCACAAAUAAAGAAAAUAUGAAAAUGAAAAGUUUUUUUUAAAAAAAUCUUUGUACCACAUUUUUAAAAGAGCUAAAUUAUUUGUUUUCAUAUAUCUCACUUUGAAUUGUGAUGUUACCGGUUAGUUUGUCUAUAUUUCUUAAAAACAUACAUAGAUUUAUGCUUUUGUUUUGCUGCUAACUAAUGCGACGCAUCUCCUCUAUUUCGCUCUAGCUUCACUACUGCAUGUAUAGACUACUAAAUACAGAUUAUUUAUGAAUUUACAAGACGAAUCUUUGAAGCUGGGCCUCGGGUUGAGCCCAUUGGCUGCAGGCCUGAUACAAUGUGUUCCUUAUUCGUGCCUAUUAGGCCCAUGUUUAAAUAGGCCGUGCUUAAAUGGAUCCAUGUCGUGUUAGGCCGAGCUACUCAUUUAGCAAUGUAUAGCC